CUAAUACAUGCWAGUCGAGCGGACCGACGGGAGCUUGCUCCCUUAGGUCAGCGGCGGACGGGCUGAGUAACACGUGGGUAACCUGCCUGUAAGACUGGGAUAACUCCGGGAAACCGGGGCUAAUACCGGAUGCUUGAUUGAACCGCAUGGUUCAAUCAUAAAAGGKGGSUUUUAGCUACCACUUDCAGAUGGGACCCGCGGCGCAAUUAGCUAGUUGGUGAGGUAACGGCUCACCAAGGCGACGAUGCGUAGCCGACCCUGGAGAGGGUGGAUCGGCCACACUGGGACUGGAGACACGGCCCAGACUCCUACGGGAGGCAGCAGUAGGGAAUCUUCCGCAAUGGACGAAAGUYUGACGGARCAACGCCGCGUGAGUGAUGAAGGUUUUCGGAUCGUAAAAYUCUGUUGUUAGGGAAGAACAAGUACCGUUCGAAUAGGGCGGUACCUUGACGGUACCUAACCAGAAAGCCACGGCUAACUACGUGCCAGCAGCCGCGGUAAUACGUAGGUGGCAAGCGUUGUCCGGAAUUAUUGGGCGUAAAGCGCGCGCAGGCGGUUUCUUAAGUCUGAUGUGAAAGCCCCCGGCUCAACCGGGGAGGGUCAUUGGAAACUGGGGAACUUGAGUGCAGAAGARGAGAGUGGAAUUCCACGUGUAGCGGUGAAAUGCGUAGAGAUGUGGAGGAACACCAGUGGCGAAGGCGACUCUCUGGUCUGUAACUGACGCUGAGGCGCGAAAGCGUGGGGAGCGAACAGGAUUAGAUACCCUGGUAGUCCACGCCGUAAACGAUGAGUGCUAAGUGUUAGAGGGUUUCCGCCCUUUAGUGCUGCAGCAAACGCAUUAAGCACUCCGCCUGGGGAGUACGGUCGCAAGACUGAAACUCAAAGGAAUUGACGGGGGCCCGCACAAGCGGUGGARCAUGUGGUUUAAUUCGAAGCAACGCGAAGAACCUUACCAGGUCUUGACAUCCUCUGACAACCCUAGAGAUAGGGCUUCCCCUUCGGGGGCARAGUGACAGGUGGUGCAUGGUUGUCGUCAGCUCGUGUCGUGAGAUGUUGGGUUAAGUCCCGCAACGAGCGCAACCCUUGAUCUUAGUUGCCAGCAUUCAGUUGGGCACUCUAAGGUGACUGCCGGUGACAAACCGGAGGAAGGUGGGGAUGACGUCAAAUCAUCAUGCCCCUUAUGACCUGGGCUACACACGUGCUACAAUGGGCAGAACAAAGGGCAGCGAAGCCGCGAGGCUAAGCCAAUCCCACAAAUCUGUUCUCAGUUCGGAUCGCAGUCUGCAACUCGACUGCGUGAAGCUGGAAUCGCUAGUAAUCGCGGAUCAGCAUGCCGCGGUGAAUACGUUCCCGGGCCUUGUACACACCGCCCGUCACACCACGAGAGUUUGUAACACCCGAAGUCGGUGAGGUAACCUUUUGGAGCCAGCCGCCGAAGGUGGGACAGAUGAUUGGGGUGAAGUCGUUAACAAGG
rnacentral:rRNA from 1 species